rnacentral:rRNA from 1 species
GAUGAACGCUGGCGGCGUGCCUAAUACAUGCAAGUCGAGCGAACGGACGAGAAGCUUGCUUCUCUGAUGUUAGCGGCGGACGGGUGAGUAACACGUGGAUAACCUACCUAUAAGACUGGGAUAACUUCGGGAAACCGGAGCUAAUACCGGAUAAUAUUUUGAACCGCAUGGUUCAAAAGUGAAAGACGGUCUUGCUGUCGCUUAUAGAUGGAUCCGCGCUGCAUUAGCUAGUUGGUAAGGUAACGGCUUACCAAGGCAACGAUGCAUAGCCGACCUGAGAGGGUGAUCGGCCACACUGGAACUGAGACACGGUCCAGACUCCUACGGGAGGCAGCAGUAGGGAAUCUUCCGCAAUGGGCGAAAGCCUGACGGAGCAACGCCGCGUGAGUGAUGAAGGUCUUCGGAUCGUAAAACUCUGUUAUUAGGGAAGAACAGAUGUGUAAGUAACUGUGCACAUCUUGACGGUACCUAAUCAGAAAGCAACGGCUAACUUCGUG